rnacentral:rRNA from 1 species
CGGACGGGUGAGUAAUGUCUGGGAAACUGCCUGAUGGAGGGGGAUAACUACUGGAAACGGUAGCUAAUACCGCAUAACGUCGCAAGACCAAAGAGGGGGACCUUAGGGCCUCUUGCCAUCGGAUGUGCCCAGAUGGGAUUAGCUAGUAGGCGGGGUAACGGCUCACCUAGGCGACGAUCCCUAGCUGGUCUGAGAGGAUGACCAGCCACACUGGAACUGAGACACGGUCCAG